GCAACUUAUUUGUUUGAACAUAAAGAUGCAUGAUUUGAUGAAAAAUGAUUUUAUGUGAGAGCCAAUAUUAGAAUAUGUCGUUGAGUCAAGAUUACAAAAUAGGACGACUCAACAGUUAACUUCAUUUGCAAUUCUCGACCUUGUACUGUUUCUCUUGUACUUGGACUGUUAUUGUUCCAUCCUCGUUGGUUUGUCAUUUAUCAAAACCUACAUGAAUCAACACACGUUUAGAUUGAGAACGUGAUUCAACACAACUAAGUUAAAUGAAAGAAUUCUUCAUGCGCUCAUAACUUGGAGUUACACAUCCAACCACAAUUGAAAAUCGAACACUUAGUAGUUUACCUAUCAUCUAGAAAAUCUUCCUCGUCUCUUCAACGUCAUAUAAAAACAUCAUGCAGUACUAAAAUAUUCAUCAUAUAGCUAUCCAGCCAUCACACCCACCAUUAGGGACAAUACUGAACAUAUAAGUUCAAAACACUAGCUCGCACCAUCAGCACCUUGGUGCUCAAGCCAUAAGUGAAGAUCCGGUCUCAAGUCCUCGAGACUGGCCCAAAAUUAACUCAUAGAAAUCACAUCUAGUAAUAUGGCAAUAUUCUUGAGAUUGAUGACCUGCGUGGCCUGGUUGAAUUAGAGGAAUUUAGUUAUGAUAGCUUGAUUAGGAGAAAAUGGAUUUCCAAGUGUUCUUGAUGGUUUCUACUAUGGUUUAAACCAGACACUUUCUAUAGGUAUGGGGAACGUGUUGUGUAUUGUGAGUUCCUGUACAUUUCUUCAUUAUUGAUGGAGUACAAAGGUUUUGGAGCAAGGUUCUGUUUAAUGUGUGGUUUCCUACUGGUACUUGGUUGGUUUGAGUGGUUACGCUGAUCGAGAAUGGUGUUACGAGUAUACGAAUUGUGUAGUAUGUUAUGCGAUUAUAUCUAGGGUUAUUGUUAUAGCUUGACAAAGUUUGUUCGUACUUAUUCAGUGGGUGUAUGUGAGAUUCGGGUCUUGAAAAGAAUUUUUGAUGUUAGAAAUUGGGCUACAAGGAUUUCGAGUAAGGUUAAAAUAAUGUUUAUUAGUCACUACCAUGAGUUUAAUGUGUUUCAGAAUAAUUGGUUCCAACUUUUUUUUAUGAAUUAUAUGCCCUACUGGUAUGAGGGUUUGUUAUGUUCAAUGAAAAAAAAAAUAUUUACGAAAUUUAUUGAGAAAAAGAAAGAAAGGAAAUUGAAAAUUGUAGUUGGCACAAUGUGAAAUAUUUAAAUCGGGCUGCAAGGCGCGAUGGAGGUUAUGUAAGGACGAGGUCCUUGUGGUAAAUAUUUAUGAGUUUAAAGUUUCCCUUUAUAAAGUUUCAUUCGUACGAUAAUAUUAAAAGGGAGUCAUGCCAAUAAGGUUGAUUUGAUAACUCUUGAAUACUUUAUGUUCAUAUUCAGCCAUUUUUGUAUUGUAAACAUUGAGUUUUAGCUUAUUAGAUGAGUUUCCAAGUGGCGUUAAAUGUGACUCAUUAAUCCGAGUAAGUAAUAAUGAGGUCUUCAUGCCUCACAUUCNNNNNNNNNNNNNNNNNNNNNNNNNNNNNNNNNNNNNNNNNNNNNNNNNNNNNNNNNNNAUUGUCAGUAUUGUGAAAAUUUGAAAUGAGGUGGUGGUUAAUAUGAGAUUUAUUGAUAAUGAUGGAAUUAUUUAUGAACAACUAUUAAGACUAGAAAUGUGGUUACGAUCAUACAAAUGAUGUGUUUCAUGUCAAGAUAUCAUUGUGAUAAGUCGAGCUUAGAAUGCGGAGAUUAGUGUUAUCGAUGUACUUGUGGUACUUGUUGGGUUGUGGACAUGCUGUUUGGAGUUGUUUUGUUGUUACUGUGACAGGUGGAUAGGCCCAAUUACAAAUGAGACUCUGCCAAAAUAUUUGAAAAAUCUAGGUGUUAGUCAAAUUUUGGGGACUUAAGAAAGUUGAAAUGUUGGAAGAAUAUCUAAGAUCUAUAUGAAGUCGUUCGAUUUAUUUGGUUGUGCAUUGUGAGGCCUCCUCCCGUCAAUGGUGGUAGUUCAUACGUGUUAUGAGAAGAAAUUACUUAUUAUGGGUCCAAGAAAGACUAUCACCCUUGUUAGGUGAGAUCAGAAUCGACCUGAAGUGGGUGAAUGGAUUUAAAUAGUAUUAUGGUCUUCAUAUGAGUCAGAUGUGUUCAUUUCAGUAUAGCGCUCCUCAAGGGGGGGUGUUGGAAUAUCAUAUGUUGUUCCGUGUUCAUCAAUUCAUGUAAUAUUGUGAUUGUGCCAUGUGUGCUAUGAAACAGCUUGAUAAAUUCCUAUUCUCUUUGGAAAAGUCCAUAUUAGCUGUGUGAGUUGAGCAAUCCAUUCCUGAAUCAUUUCCUUAUGUAUCUUGUUUACGUUAUGGCCUAUUAGCGCAUUUUUGCAUCAUGUGAGACCGUUGGUCAUUGUCUGUGGUGAUUGGUUGUCUGAGCAGCUGGUACUAGGUGAGGUGAGACUAUUGGUAUCGGGAACCAUUGUAGUGGAAUUAUGUUAGGUAUAUUAAAAGACAGUUACCAAUAUUUGGGUAAUAAUAAGGUGAUGAUUUAAGUCAAAAAAGAGAGAAUUAAUGUUGGGUUAACUCUGCAAUUGGUUAGAAAUUUCUGUACAUCUUCUCCGUUGUGGUUAUAUCGUCACCAUUAUAACAGAAUGUCUAGGUAUAUCAUCAUAUGCAUUUGGAGCAUUAGAGUCGUGGAAUUUUGGCUAUUAAGUUUCAUGGAGUGUCAUUGUGGUUAGAUGGUGAAUUAUGCGAUGCAUGGUGCUAAUUCAAUAAAGGUACGCAGUCGUGUUCUGGUACCUCGUGUGGUAGUUGAUACAGUGUUUAUAUACAGGGAACAUGUCCUGCCGAGAAUUUCACGUGUUGGAUUUGGUUUUAAGCUUAUUGUAUGGAUAAAAGAGGAUAUCUGCAUAUUUGCUCAAACUAAUGUGUCGAUAUGAGUUGUGGUAGCAUGGGCAGGUGAACGAGGUGUUAAAGAGUGAUUUCAGAAAACUUAAGAGUUGUUCUUGGAACGUUCGAGGACGAACACCUCUUUAAGUGGGGGAGAAUGUAACAACCCGACCGGUCGUUUUGAGCUAGAGUUGUUCAGUAGUUGGAAGUCAUGAACUUUAUUUCAGGUAUAUUGACUUGUGCAUAUGGUCAGAAUUGAAUUUCGGGAAAUUUGGAGUCAAAUUGGAAAGAAAAUUUUAUUGUGGUAACCUUAAGUUGAAGAAAAUGGCUAAGAUUAGAAUUUUGAGUAAACGAAUUCGGAAUUGGGAUCUAAAAGUUCCAGCAUGUUCGUAUGAUGAUUUCGGACUUGGGUGUACGUACGGAUUUAUUUUUGGAUAACUCAUGAGCAUUUCGGCGUAUAUUGUGGAAGUUAGUAUUUUAGAAAAAUUUCAUAAAUUUGGGUUGGAAGGCAUUUCUGUGAUAUAUAUGUCUUUUUGGGAUUCCGAGUCUGGGAAUAGCUCCGUAUAGUGAUUCUGGAGUGGGGAGCGCGAUCGGAAGUGAAUUCGGAUGUCCGGAGGUUAUUUUGAAGUCAUUUGGCUAAAUAUACAAAUUUGAAGGUUUUUGAGAAAAUUUGACCGGGCGUGGAAUUUUUGAUAUCUGGGUCGGAAUGCGAUUCCGAAAGUUUGGGAAAGUCUGUAAUAUCGAAUGUGAUUUGUGUGCAAAAUUUGAAGUCAUACCAGAAUGAUUUUGGUAAGGUUUGAAACACUUAGCCUCUUUUAAGGAAGCUUAAAUUGGAAAAGUCAACUAGAUAUUGACUUAUGUGUUAGAAGGCUUGAAAUGCAAGUUUUAUGGUUCGGAUAGCUUCAUUAAGUGAUUUGUGACUUAGGAGUGUGUCCGGAAUAUUUUUGUGAUGACCGGUGUAGAAUUAAGCUUGAAUUGGCAAAGUUAGCAUUUUGGCGACUUCCGGUUGAUAGGUGAUAUUUUUAUCUGAGGGUCGGAAUGGAAUUCCGAGAAUUGUUGUAGCUUUGUUAUGUCAUUUUAGACUUGUUUGCAAAAUUUAAGGUCAUUCGGACUAGUUUUGAUGUGUUUCAGCAUCGCAUGUGGAAUUUGAAAGUUCUUGAGAUUCAUAAUCUUGAAUCUGAUGAUGAUUUGAUAUCUUGAUGUUAUUUUGAUUGUUCCGAAGGUUGGAACAAGUUUGAAUAAUAUUGCGGGAUAUGUUGUAAUAAUUGAUGUCACACCCCUGUUUUUAAUAAACUUCACUAAACCAUCUUAAAUUAAUAAAAAGAUUUUAGUAAAGCUUGAAAAGGGUUUUCAAUUUCGAAAGUGACAAAAGUUGUUCAAAAGGAAAUAAACUCAGAGUCGCCACCUGAGAUUGAUUUCGGUGUGUCAGAUCACCCUUUUUUUUAAAAAUAUUUAUUUUUCCUUUUCAAACAUUUCAGACUCUAAAACCAAGUCUGCAGCAGAGAUUGAGGUAAGGGGAUUCAUUUGACUCGGGGAGAAGGUGUUAGGCACUCCCCAAGUCCCGUAGCUAGUACGAUUGCGUACUCGAUCUAGUUGGCUUUUAAAAUAUUCAAUUGAGGAAAAUACACAGAAAAUAAAGACAGACAUGCAAGAGGUUCGAGGUCGCUCCCACCUAGUAAAAGAAAAAUACUAAAUUAAAAUAUUAUGAGCUUCACGUUAGGCCUCCAAAUACAAGUACUUCGGGGCAUUCCCCGGAAUCAAAUAUAUGUAAAUCCUUCGGGGCAUUUUCCAGAUAAAUUUAACUAAGGAAGCGACCCCUUACCUCGAAAUCAAAGAAAAUGAAAAACCCUAAGAUUGCUUACCUAAAAUGAUCGGCCUAAAGCAUGCUCCUAACGGACAAUGUCAUCAACAAAGAAAAUAAAAGAACUAAAUAAGAGAACUAAGUAAAAGAAACAAUUCAAAUCAUGCUCAUGUUUUGUUCUUAACUUUUCAUUUUAUUAGGCCGAGCCCGACACCUAGAGUAUGGAACUAAUUAGUUGCUAAUGGGCUUCAACCUUUUUACCACUCCCACGGCCCAUUUUACUCAAACCAAUACUAACGUGAGUUUAGCAAGAGCGACACAGAAUGUAUGGGCAAAUAGCAAGCAAGUAGUUAACAUCACAAAACCAAAGAGAAAUGAAAGACUAAUAAAGGAAAAUAAUCUGAAGCACCGGAAAGAUUUUCCCCACCCCAAGUUUUUAACAUAUGCUCAACUAAACCGAGCUUCCCCGUCUGCUUCAUUCGGAAAGAUUAUCUAUUUGGGUUGCACACGCAGAUUACAAUUAAUCAUUUCCCUUGAGCUUCAUAUCCUAAAAGGUAAUUAGAAGUUCUAAUGCAAGAAUGCACUUAAACACCCCAAGCAAAUAGCCAAAUAAUAGCAUACCAAAAAUGAAAAUUAUAGAACUCCGUCAUUCUAUAAUCUGCAGAAGACACCCAGUAUAAAAUCUUGGAAAGAAACUAAUUGAGUAUUUUCCAAGUCAAAAAAAAAACUUAUUUAUCUCAUUUGAAAUCUCAUAAAGCCCAAAGAUGAAGUCAACACAAACCUGUAUUAAAAACAGACAUAUAUGCAACAUGAAACACUUAAGAGAGUAAUGAAAUUCAGAACAUGAAGCAAUUAGCGCAUCCAGUAGACUCUCUCAAUCUCAUAUCAUUGAGGAUAUUUCCAUUUUUAACUAGAAGCAAAUUAACUAUGGAAUGUAGAAUUAAGCAGCAUCUGGUAAAUCUCAGUUUCAAGUCACUUUACUUAAUCAACAUGAAGAGACACUAUGAGAAACCACCACUCCGUCAUAACAACAGACGCAAUGAAGGUUAAUUUCAGAUCGACGAAACGAAAUAUGCUUCACACAGUUAAUCCAUUCGUGAACUUGAACUUAAACAUGUCAUGGAGAUCUCAACUAAGCAAAUGAUUUAAAACAAGUCAAAUCACACUCUUAAACACAAGAAGGAAAGGGAAUGAGAUGACCUGAAACUAGAAUUUCCAAGAAGCCUGUCCGGAUGCGAUACAGGCAAAAAUCGAACGAUGAACUUAGUAGGGGCUGAAUGAAACAGUAACGAUCGAAUCCGGAACCACAAGCUCGAACCACGAGCUCGAAUCAGAACAUCAAUCAAGCACCAGCAGAAAAUCAGUCGCACUCCAUGCUUAAACCAGAAUAGGAAUCUCAGAGACGGAAGUGAACUGAUUUUUUUGUGUUUUUCUUUUAAUGAUAUUUCUGACUUUUUUUGUAAAAUCCGAAUGAGA
rnacentral:lncRNA from 1 species